rnacentral:rRNA from 1 species
CCUACGGGUGGCAGCAGUGCGGAAUAUUGGUCAAUGGCCGGAAGGCUGAACCAGCCAUGCCGCGUGACGGUCAGUGCCCUAUGGGCGUUAAACUUCUUUUGUGCGGGAGCAAUAAUGGUCACGUGUGGCCAGACGAGAGUACCGUACGAAUAAGCAUCGGCUAACUCCGUGCCAGCAGCCGCGGUAAUCCGGGGGAUGCAAGCGUUCUCCGGAUUUAUUGGGGUUACAGGGUGCGUAGGCUGUGAGGUUAGUCAGCGGUGAAAUGCCACCGCUCAACGGGGUGAAGUGCCAUUGAUACUGCCGUGCUGGAAUGCGGAUGCGGUGGGAGGAAUGUGUGGUGUAGCGGUGAAAGGCAUAGAUAUCACACAGAACACCGAUUGCGAAGGCAUCUCACGAAUCCGCGAUUGACGCUGAUGCACGAAAGCGUGGGUAUCAAACAGGAUUAGAUACCCGUGUAGUC